rnacentral:rRNA from 1 species
GGGACCCCGCACAAGCGGUGGAUCAUGUGUUUAAUUCGAUGAUACGCGAAGAACCUUACCAGGUCUUGACAUCCCCCGCGAUGCUUUAGAGAUAAAGCGGAGGUAUUCGGGGAGACAGGUGGUGCAUGGUUGUCGUCAGCUCGUGUCGUGAGAUGUUGGGUUAAGUCCCGCAACGAGCGCAACCCCUAUUGCUAGUUACCAUCAUUAAGUUGGGGACUCUAGCGAGACUGCCAGUGAUAAACUGGAGGAAGGUGGGGAUGACGUCAAAUCAUCAUGCCCCUUAUGACCUGGGCUACAAACGUGAUACAAUGGCUGGAACAAAGGGAUGCGAAGCAGUGAUGUGGAGCGAAACCCAUAAAAACAGUCUCAGUUCGGAUUGAAGUCUGCAACUCGACUUCAUGAAGUCGGAAUCGCUAGUAAUCGCGGAUCAGAACGCCGCGGUGAAUACGUUCUCGGGGUUU